rnacentral:rRNA from 1 species
CUAGCGGCAGGCUUAACACAUGCAAGUCGAGGGGUAUGGUUCUUCGGAACCAGAGACCGGCGCACGGGUGCGUAACGCGUAUGCAAUCUACCUUUCACAGAGGGAUAGCCCAGAGAAAUUUGGAUUAAUACCUCAUAGUAUAUUGGUCUCGCAUGAGAUCAUUAUUAAAGAUUUAUCGGUGAAAGAUGAGCAUGCGUCCCAUUAGUUAGUUGGUAAGGUAACGGCUUACCAAGACUACGAUGGGUAGGGGUCCUGAGAGGGAGAUCCCCCACACUGGUACUGAGACACGGACCAGACUCCUACGGGAGGCAGCAGUGAGGAAUAUUGGACAAUGGGCGCAAGCCUGAUCCAGCCAUGCCGCGUGCAGGAUGACGGUCCUAUGGAUUGUAAACUGCUUUUAUACGAGAAGAAACACUGGUUCGUGAACCAGCUUGACGGUAUCGUAAGAAUAAGGAUCGGCUAACUCCGUGCCAGCAGCCGCGGUAAUACGGAGGAUCCAAGCGUUAUCCGGAAUCAUUGGGUUUAAAGGGUCCGUAGGCGGUCAGAUAAGUCAGUGGUGAAAGCCCAUCGCUCAACGGUGGAACGGCCAUUGAUACUGUCUGACUUGAAUUAUUAGGAAGUAACUAGAAUAUGUAGUGUAGCGGUGAAAUGCUUAGAGAUUACAUGGAAUACCAAUUGCGAAGGCAGGUUACUACUAAUAUAUUGACGCUGAUGGACGAAAGCGUGGGUAGCGAACAGGAUUAGAUACCCUGGUAGUCCACGCCGUAAACGAUGGAUACUAGCUGUUGGGAGCAAUCUCAGUGGCUAAGCGAAAGUGAUA